ncrna:unclassified sequences L13-Bacteroidia ribosomal protein leader
CGGGAAUAAGCUUAGGAUUCCCGGCAGUUUGGCAGUGUUAAUAGCCUUUUCUUUGGCCGGAAUUGGCGGUUAGUGAAUC